UACAGAGGGUGCGAGCGUUAAUCGAAAUUACUGGGCGUAAAGCGCGCGCAGGCGGCGGUGCUGGCCCGGCGUGAAAGCCCCCGGCUCAACCGGGGAGGGUCGUCGGGGACCGCACCGCUUGAGGGCGGUAGGGGCUGGUGGAAUGCCUGGUGUAGUGGUGAAAUGCGUAGAGAUCAGGCGGAACACCCGUGGCGAAGGCGGCCAGCUGGGCCGUCCCUGACGCUGAGGCGCGAAGGCGUGGGGAGCGAACGGG
rnacentral:rRNA from 1 species